UACGUAGGGUGCGAGCGUUAAUCGGAAUUACUGGGCGUAAAGCGUGCGCAGGCGGUUCGUUGUGUCCGGUGUGAAAGCCCCGAGCUUAACUUGGGAAUGGCAGUGGAAACUGGCGAGCUGGAGUGUGGCAGAGGGGGGUGGAAUUCCGCGUGUAGCAGUGAAAUGCGUAGAGAUGCGGAGGAACACCGAUGGCGAAGGCAGCCCCCUGGGCUGACACUGACGCUCAGGCACGAAAGCGUGGGGAGCAAACAGG
rnacentral:rRNA from 1 species